UUGGCCGUUGGUGUGACAUGUCGAGCAGGGAGCAGAAGACAAUGACAGACUGGCUUGGGCUCGUUUUGCUCUAAUGAGACGCAGGCGAUACCGUUGUACUGACGUCACGCAGGAAGACAAACUUGUUUGUCACUGAAGUCAGGUGGACGGCUAGCUUACAGGCGAGUCCCACAAGCUCACACCCAACAAUCAGUUUUGUGACGAGGGAGCUCAUUAUGUAGACAAGGGGCCAAAGACAACGUUCAGACGCUAGACGAAAGAGGCACGAACCUUUGCCCAACGCCCAGAUAUAUCUAGCUGCUUUGUAACAAUUCGUGUUUAGUUUCUGAGUCCUAUACAGCUGUAUAUGCUUCUCCUGAUUUGCACCAAAGUGCCUGUGACAGUCUGCACAUUCGCCGCACGCAGUGGGACUCCUCAUGUGCACUGGGCUGUUGGUGAAGUUCAGGGCAAAGUUCAUUUCUUCUUUCCGGGAACACCUUUAGUACUUGCUGGACAGGGUCAGAAAAUGAACACGAAGCUGAAGUGUCCUGCUUCAUUGGGAUUUCUGGUCUGUUUUCUUAUUUUCCACGUGGUGCAAGGUGUGACCUCAGGCAAUGUGACUGGUACUGAGUGCACUGUACAGGAGUCGUACCUGAUGUACAAAACUGUUCUGACUCAGCACGCGCACGAAG